rnacentral:lncRNA from 1 species
GAAAUCUCAUUAUGCGAUAACCUUAACUCUUGUAACAAUGAAAGAUUUUGGAGUUGUAAAGGGAUUGCUCCAAUUAGUUCAUUGUAGCUGAGAUCAAGGUGUUGUAAUUGUGAGAGAUUUCCAAGUUGGAAGGGAAUUGCUCCAAUGAGUUCAUUUUCGCUGAGAUCAAGGUGUUGCAAUUGUGAGAGAUUUCCAAGUUGGAAGGGAAUUGCUCCAAUGAGUUCAUUUCUGCUGAGAUCAAGGUGUUGCAAUUGUGAGAGAUUUCCAAGUUGGAAGGGAAUUCCUCCAAUGAGUUCAUUGUAGCUGAGAUCAAGAUGUUGCAAUUGUGAGAGAUUUCCAAGUUGGAAGGGAAUUGCUCCAAUGAGUUCAUUUUCGCCGAGAUCAAGGUGUUGCAAUUGUGAGAGAUUUCCAAGUUGGAAGGGAAUUGCUCCAAUGAGUUCAUUUCCGCCGAGAUCAAGGUGUUGCAAUUGUGAGAGAUUUCCAAGUUGGAAGGGAAUU